AAAUUGAAGAGUUUGAUCAUGGCUCAGAUUGAACGCUGGCGGCAGGCCUAACACAUGCAAGUCGAACGGUAACAGGAAGCAGCUUGCUGCUUUGCUGACGAGUGGCGGACGGGUGAGUAAUGUCUGGGAAACUGCCUGAUGGAGGGGGAUAACUACUGGAAACGGUGGCUAAUACCGCAUAACGUCGCAAGACCAAAGAGGGGGACCUUCGGGCCUCUUGCCAUCAGAUGUGCCCAGAUGGGAUUAGCUUGUUGGUGAGGUAACGGCUCACCAAGGCGACGAUC
rnacentral:rRNA from 3 species